CUUGGUCAUUUAGAGGAAGUAAAAGUCGUAACAAGGUUUCCGUAGGUGAACCUGCGGAAGGAUCAUUAAAGAUUCUACAUGGAUGUGCGCCUCGGCUGCACUCCAUAACACCUCACACACUGUGCACUUCGGGGGCUUAGGCCUUCGCUUUCAUAAUACCACAUAACCAGAAUGUCUUUACUAUAAACAAAUACAACUUUCAACAACGGAUCUCUUGGCUCUCGCAUCGAUGAAGAACGCAGCGAAAUGCGAUAAGUAAUGUGAAUUGCAGAAUUCAGUGAAUCAUCGAAUCUUUGAACGCACCUUGCGCUCCAUGGUAUUCCGUGGAGCAUGCCUGUUUGAGUGUCACGUUAACCCUCAUCCAUGUGGUGUCAAAACUGCAUGAAUGGAUUUGGACGCUGCCGUAGAGGCUCGUCUUAAUUGCAUUAGCUGUGCGCCCAUUAGUGUGCUCGGUGUCUGCCGUGGUAAUUCUCUCGGCUCGCCUUAUGCCACUUCCAGUGACGCUGCUUCUAAUGGUCCUUUGCGGACACGUCAUUAAAGCUUUGGCCUCAAAUCAGGUAGGACUACCCGCUGAACUUAAGCAUAUCAAUAAGCGGAGGA
rnacentral:rRNA from 1 species